GUGGGGUAAUGGCUCACCAAGGCGACGAUGGGUAGCCGGCCUGAGAGGGUGUCCGGCCACACUGGGACUGAGAUACGGCCCAGACUCCUACGGGAGGCAGCAGUCGAGAGGCUUCGGCAAUGGGGGAAACCCUGACCGAGCGACGCCGCGUGGAGGAUGAAGGCCUUCGGGUCGUAAACUCCUGUCAGCUGGGACGAAACACGGGUCGGCCAAUACCCGAUUCGUUUGACGGUACCAGCAGAGGAAGCUCCGGCUAACUCCGUGCCAGCAGCCGCGGUAAUACGGGGGGAGCAAACGUUGUUCGGAUUCACUGGGCGUAAAGGGGGCGUAGGCGGCUAGGUUAGUGAGACGUGAAAUCCUUCGGCUCAACCGAAGACCUGCGUUUCAAGCUGCCUGGCUUGAGUCCGGGAGGGGAGACGGGAAUUCCUGGUGUAGCGGUGAAAUGCGCAGAUAUCAGGAAGAACACCGGCGGCGAAGGCGCGUCUCUGGACCGGUACUGACGCUGAGGCCCGAAAGCGUGGGGAGCAAACAGGAUUAGAUACCCUGGUAGUCCACGCUGUAAACGAUGGGCACUAGGUGUGGGGGGUAUCGACCCCCUCCGUGCCGCAGCUAACGCAUUAAGUG
rnacentral:rRNA from 1 species